rnacentral:piRNA from 1 species
UGAAUGCAACAACAGGAGGAA